ensembl:lncRNA
GGGACAUCUCAACUGUGUGGAUCUCAUGCAACAAUAAAUUUGGACCCUUAAAUUUCUCCUCACUCACGGGCCCGGUGUCUUCAAUGUCCUUCAAACUGGUUAAUAUAUGUUGGUGCUGAAAACAAAAUGGAGGAAAUGGAAAUAAUGCCAAGUACGUGUCGUGAAUUUUUACACCCUCAUGAGGAAAACAGUCUCAGGUCACUGCUUGAAUGGAACACCCUGCAGCGCUUUAGACGAAGUGGGGAAACAAUCCGUGACUGGGCUUUUUACGCUGAUCAAAAGGCCCAUACGAACAUCUCCACAUCCCCUGUAAAGAAGCUAAAGGACUCCCAAACUUCUCUCUGCAUAAAACAAAUGACCAGUGUUCAUAUUGAAGGCAGUGAGAUGCUAAGGGCAAAUAAAUCACAAACAUUUAAGAUGACCAGGGAGGACAAUGAAUGCAAUAAUACUAUCCCGAAUCAAGCUUUUAGCUCACAACUCCCUCUGGGUUUCAUCUCUCCGACUGACGCGCUCACAAAGCAUCCAUCUCGCAGAAAGUCAUGUGGACAGUUCGGUUUAAAUGAAUCAUAUGUAGAAAAACAUGAAAUACAGGCUGAAGAGGAAGCUGUACACAUUCCAGGUCAGUGCUGUUGAGGGUUUUUUACAAUGCUUCAUGUUACAGUGAUGCAAUACAAUGAAGAAUGUCAAUAGAGACUUGAAUUUAAGUGCAAAAAUCAGAAUUAGAACGUUAUUACUUUGAAAGUACAGUAUGAAACAUAUCUCCAGUCUUUUGAUAUGAUGGAUAACAAAUACACAGGAUCAAUUUAUUUAGGUUUGUUGCAUUAAAAAAAAAAAAAACGUAAAAACUUAAAGUUUGAUGAUACUUUUAUUUAUUGUCUAAAAAAAUCGAUAAAAGGAACAAAAACAAACGAAAGCAAUGUGAAUGUUCUAAUCUUUUAAAUAAGAUUAAUUUGGACAAGUUUGCUAGAGAUUAUAAUGUGGGAUUAUAAUGUGAGAUUAUAAUGUGGGUGCAGUAGUAUGAUCUUGGCUAACUAGUUUGGCAUAUUAAAAGAUUAAGCAGUUCGGUGUUUGACUGCUUUUGCCUGCAAGUUACUUUGAAAGCGAAUUAAAAAUGACAAAUUAAUAGAGAGACUGAAUGCUUUUCAGAAAAUGAUUACACAUGUACUUCAUUUUGAAUCUCAAACAUUCGGUAGUGUGCCCUUAAAUGUGAAAAUUGAAAAGGGUCUUUUGCAAUCCACUAAAUUCAGUGACAGUUCAAUUUUAAUGGUAUAAUGCAAAUGAAAAAUAAUACAAUUAUUGUGUACACCUGCACGUUCAUGCAGUUAUCUGAUCAGCCAAUCAUGUGGCAGCAGUGCAAUGCAAAAAAUAAAAAAAUAAAAAAAUAAUUCAUGCAGAUACAGGUCUAGAGUUCAGUUAAUGUUCACAUCCAACAUCAGAAUGAAUAAAAAACUGUGAUCUCUGUGACUUUGAUCAGUGCAUGGAUGUCGGCACCAGAAGGACUGGUUUGAGUGUUUCAUAAACUUCUGAUCUCCUGGGAAUUUCACACAGAAUGGUAUGAAAAACAAAAAGCAUUGAGUGGGUGACAGUUCUGUGGGUGGAAAAGCCUUGUUGAUAAGAGAGGUCCAAGGAAAAUGACCAGAUUGGUUCGAGCUGCCAGGAAGGAUAUCGUAACUCAAAUAAUGACUCUAAAUAGUAAUAAUGACAGAAAAACAUCUCUGCAUGCACAAAACCUCGAUGUGGAUGGGCUACAACAGCAGAAGACCACAUUGGGUUUCACUCCUGUCAGCCAAGAACAAGAAUCUGGGACUAUCAUGGGCACAGACCAUCACCAUGUCUUUUUCCCGUCUUCAACUGUCCAGUGUGGGUGAGUCUGUUCCCAUGAGUCUUGUUCUUGGCUGACAGGAGUGGAACCUGGUGUGACCUUCUGCUAUUGUAAGGAAUCGAUGUGUUCUGAGAUGGUUUUCUGCUCACCACAAUUGUAAAGAGUGAUUAUUUGAGUUACUACAGACUACCUGGCAGCUCAGGCCGGCCUGGCCAUUCUCCUCUGAUCUCUCUCAUCAACAAGGUGUUUCAGCCUGCAGACUCUCCACUUACAUGAUGUUUUUCACACCAUUCCGUGUAAACUCUAAACACUGUUGUGUGUGAUAUUCAGGAGAUCAGCAGUUUCUGAAACACUCAAACCAGCCCAUCUGGUACCAACGUCCAUGCCACAAUGAAAGUCACAGAGAUCACAAAUGAGCAGCCCAGACGUUCCUAUUAAACCGGACGGGCGAGUGUAUGUAUGCUAAUGUUAAUAUAGAAAUGUGAAUCUUGGCGAAAAUCUCUAGCGAUGAUUUUAAUGUAGUAGUUAUGUUGUUUGUUUGUUUGUUUUUUUUUUUUGUAAUUUUAUUAUGUAAUAUGUACUCCUUUUUUAUUUUAAUUGCUGUGAUUUGAUGAAUAGAAGCUUGUGUCUAAAGAGCUUGUUGUAAUAUUACACUUUAAAAAAAAAAAACCAACCUUUUCUUCUCAAUAAACGGUUAAAUUCUUUGA